UUCACUAGAAUCCAACAAAUCAGAUCCUAACAGAAUUGGAUGAAGUAAAAAAUCAUUCCCAAUUCCCAAUUUACUUGAGUCUUCCAAAAUACUCUAUUCCUUAAAGAUCAAACUUGCUCUGCCACAAAGAAGAAUCAUACCAUGUUAAGUGCCAUGUUUAAAAUUCACCUUCCCCACUACUCCCAAGAGUAAUUAUUUAUUAUUUAGAAUUUAAUUAUUUAUUAUUAAGAAAACAAAGAGAAAUCAUGAUGAUGUGUCCAUUGACAGCUCAGAUCUAACAUCAAUGAUAAUCACAACUUUCCAAAGUAAUCUCAUUUUUCUCUUUACAAAAGACCAGAAGCUCUUUUUCAACCAAUGUUUACUCAUAAAAAUUUCUCCUAGACUAAUUGCUCAAAGUCCCCCAAAAUGAUGGCAUUUUUAAAAAAACAAACCCACACAAGAAAUUAUUUAAAUAUUUACUAUGACCAUGAAAAUACAAAAUGUAUUAUUACCCGAUUCACAGAAUUAUAGACAUAAAUAUCACUGAAAAAGAUCAUUUACUAAAACUCCUCAGUGAUUUUCGCACAAGUAAGAAUGUGAAGACUCCGAGAGUUUAAGUGAUUUGCCCAAGGUCACACAGCUAAUAAAUGGCGAGUUCACAGGGUAUGCUUUCCCUCAUACCAACAUACAUCAAAAACAAGACACAUGAUAGCACUUUCUUGCUCAAUCUAAAUUUCAAAACUAACUGGAUAAAAAAAAAAAAAACUCAAACAUAAAAACACACAUCUGAUAUAUGCUAACAUAAUUUUUUACAUUCCUAGGCAGAUGGCCUAUAUUGUCAUUACUAAUGCACAGCUAAAUGAAAUUCAAUAUAUCCAGUCAACCUCAAAGCAAAAUAUUUUCAACUAAAUUUACUUAAUAUGAGAGAAAGACAUCAAGAAAGACAGAGAACACAUGUUGGAAAAAUCACCAGAUAGCUAUCUCAACAUGAAGUCAAAUGUCCUUAGGAAGUAAAUAGUCAACUGAUAAGAAAAUAAACUGAAAACCUAAAAAUUAAAAGCAAUAAAAAAGAGACACUUGAAAAACAAAGCACCUAAAUGUUUGAUCGUUCGUGUCUCAAAAUAAAUUAAAACAUGACCUUUGACUUAAUGGAAUGCUCUUAAUAGUUAAUAGUUAACUGGUGAAAAUCAAGUACAGAAAUAAACAUAACAGUUUCUAGUGUCACCAAAACCAUUCAGAAAGCAUAUUGCCUAAAAUGGGCUUUCCUUUUCUAGUGCUUUCUCUUUCAAUGCAGCAGAUUGAAUUCUUCCAGAAUUUAGUGCAAUCCAUUUUGCUUGGUGUAUUUACAAGAGCAGUUUAAUGUGGCUACAUUACGCGAUGCGUAUUUCACCUUAUAAAAUGUAAUAGUGCAAGUAAUACAUGACAGUGAUCUUUACAAAAACUAAUAAAUAUUUUCAUAGAUGGAAUCAAUUGCAUUAAUAAUUAACAAAUUUAAUGGAAAGUUUUUCUUAAGCAAACAGAAAGAAACUCAAUAGAAAUGGGUAGAAACUUGAUAAUAAACUGAUACCACAUGUUUAAACAGGAAAACAUGUUUAAACAGGAAAAGUAUAUAAUCCAUUAAAAAAUGAAGAUGGAUGCAUUAUGGAUUAUACUGUGACAAAGAAACUGUUCCUUAGUGAACAAAUAUAAGAAAUAAUAGUUAGCAGCAGAUUUCCUAUUAAAGAUUAAAAGGCCUGACGUUACAGUAGAAGACAGACAAAAGAAUACCUUCAGUAUAGUCUCUAAGUUACAAUGACCUUAAAUUGAGACCUACGCUUUCACAUAGAGGUAUUUUUACAAUAGCGAUGCUUUGUCACAGCAUUUUUUUGCCCAGUUCAAUUCCAAUCAUAUGUUAUUUAAAUGUCAAUAUCCCCAAUGAAUCUCAGUCUGUCUUAAGGAUGCCUAAGUGUCUGACAUAUUAAUAAACACACCGUAACAGAGGAAAAAAACAGUAGGAAAAAUUAAAGAAAAAAAGUGAGAAGAAGUCAUGUACCCUUUUCUGCAGAACAAUUGGUCUUAUUGCAGGCAGAGUGACUCUUCUUGCACUCAAACUCAUUCCUGCUCUUCCCAGAACAAGCCCCUCUCGCAGAUCAUAGACGAAACGAAAGAAAUCUUUAACGGUUACUCCUUGAGAAUCUCAAGGCUCAGUGCAAAGAAAUAACCAGGGAAGUAAUGAAUGUCACCCUGCUUAUGUGAUUCCAAUCUACCCAAAGCCAAUUAAGGAUGACUGUGGGACAGGGCAGGGCAGCAACCAAUCAAAGCCAGGAAAACUCUGCCUUUGUCCUUGGAAACACAUUCUGAUACUUUUGUUUAUGAUAUUUAAAGAACCAGAUUAACAGGCAUCUAGUUCACUUAACGUUUUUUUCCAAAACAGUGCAAUUCAAUGCCAUCUUUGUUGACUAGGCAGUUAUGUUUUCACUAAAGCAUUUCAACAUAUGGCAGAUCAGAAAUUGUUUACAUUGGUCUCUUUAAAGUGUAUAAAUAUGUAAAUGAGAUAAAUUUAGUUAUGCUAUUCACAAAAUUAAUGAAUGGAUC
rnacentral:lncRNA from 1 species